rnacentral:tRNA from 3 species
GUUAGCUCAGUUGGUAGAGCAUUUGACUUUUAAUCAAAGGGUCGCUGGUUCGAGCCCAGCA